rnacentral:rRNA from 1 species
UGGGGAAUUUUGGACAAUGGGGGAAACCCUGAUCCAGCCAUCCCGCGUGUGCGAUGAAGGCCUUCGGGUUGUAAAGCACUUUUGGCAGGAAAGAAACGUCGCGGGUUAAUACCCCGCGAAACUGACGGUACCUGCAGAAUAAGCACCGGCUAACUACGUGCCAGCAGCCGCGGUAAUACGUAGGGUGCAGGCGUUAAUCGGAAUUACUGGGCGUAAAGCGUGCGCAGGCGGUUCGGAAAGAAAGAUGUGAAAUCCCAGAGCUUAACUUUGGAACUGCAUUUUUAACUACCGGGCUAGAGUGUGUCAGAGGGAGGUGGAAUUCCGCGUGUAGCAGUGAAAUGCGUAGAUAUGCGGAGGAACACCGAUGGCGAAGGCAGCCUCCUGGGAUAACACUGACGCUCAUGCACGAAAGCGUGGGGAGCAAACAGGAUUAGAUACCCUGGUAGUCCACGCCCUAAACGAUGUCAACUAGCUGUUGGGGCCUUCGGGCCUUGGUAGCGCAGCUAACGCGUGAAGUUGACCGCCUGGGGAGUACGGUCGCAAGAUUAAAACUUAAAGGAAUUGACGGGGGUGCAUAGCUGUUUCCC